rnacentral:rRNA from 1 species
GGGUUGUGAGGUUAAGCGACUAAGCGUACACGGUGGAUGCCCUGGCAGUCAGAGGCGAUGAAGGACGUGCUAAUCUGCGAAAAGCGUCGGUAAGGUGAUAUGAACCGUUAUAACCGGCGAUGUCCGAAUGGGGAAACCCAGUGUGAUUCGUCACACUAUCGUUAACUGAAUACAUAGGUUAACGAGGCGAACCGGGGGAACUGAAACAUCUAAGUACCCCGAGGAAAAGAAAUCAACCGAGAUUCCCCCAGUAGCGGCGAGCGAACGGGGAGCAGCCCAGAGUCUGAAUCAGCUUGUGUGUUAGUGGAACGGUCUGGAAAGUCCGACGGUACAGGGUGAUAGUCCCGUACACCAAAAUGCACAGGCUGUGAACUCGAAGAGUAGGGCGGGACACGUGGUAUCCUGUCUGAAUAUGGGGGGACCAUCCUCCAAGGCUAAAUACUCCUGACUGACCGAUAGUGAACCAGUACCGUGAGGGAAAGGCGAAAAGAACCCCGGCGAGGGGAGUGAAAAAGAACCUGAAACCGUGUACGUACAAGCAGUGGGAGCACCUUCGGGUGUGACUGCGUACCUUUUGUAUAAUGGGUCAGCGACUUAUAUUCUGUAGCAAGGUUAACCGUAUAGGGGAGCCGCAGGGAAACCGAGUCUUAACUGGGCGUUAAGUUGCAGGGUAUAGACCCGAAACCCGGUGAUCUAGCCAUGGGCAGGUUGAAGGUUGGGUAACACUAACUGGAGGACCGAACCGACUAAUGUUGAAAAAUUAGCGGAUGACUUGUGGCUGGGGGUGAAAGGCCAAUCAAACCGGGAGAUAGCUGGUUCUCCCCGAAAGCUAUUUAGGUAGCGCCUCGUGAAUUCAUCUUCGGGGGUAGAGCACUGUUUCGGCUAGGGGGUCAUCCCGACUUACCAACCCGAUGCAAACUACGAAUACCGAAGAAUGUUAUCACGGGAGACACACGGCGGGUGCUAACGUCCGUCGUGAAGAGGGAAACAACCCAGACCGCCAGCUAAGGUCCCAAAGUCAUGGUUAAGUGGGAAACGAUGUGGGAAGGCACAGACAGCCAGGAUGUUGGCUUAGAAGCAGCCAUCAUUUAAAGAAAGCGUAAUAGCUCACUGGUCGAGUCGGCCUGCGCGGAAGAUGUAACGGGGCUAAACCAUGCACCGAAGCUGCGGCAGCGACACUAUGUGUUGUUGGGUAGGGGAGCGUUCUGUAAGCCUGCGAAGGUGACCUGUGAGGGUUGCUGGAGGUAUCAGAAGUGCGAAUGCUGACAUAAGUAACGAUAAAGCGGGUGAAAAGCCCGCUCGCCGGAAGACCAAGGGUUCCUGUCCAACGUUAAUCGGGGCAGGGUGAGUCGACCCCUAAGGCGAGGCCGAAAGGCGUAGUCGAUGGGAAACAGGUUAAUAUUCCUGUACUUGGUGUUACUGCGAAGGGGGGACGGAGAAGGCUAUGUUAGCCGGGCGACGGUUGUCCCGGUUUAAGCAUGUAGGCUGAUUAUCCAGGCAAAUCCGGAUAAUCAAGGCUGAGGUGUGAUGACGAGGCACUACGGUGCUGAAGUAACAAAUGCCCUGCUUCCAGGAAAAGCCUCUAAGCAUCAGGUAACAUCAAAUCGUACCCCAAACCGACACAGGUGGUCAGGUAGAGAAUACCAAGGCGCUUGAGAGAACUCGGGUGAAGGAACUAGGCAAAAUGGUGCCGUAACUUCGGGAGAAGGCACGCUGGUGUGUAGGUGAAGCCCCUGCGGGUGGAGCUGAGACCAGUCGAAGAUACCAGCUGGCUGCAACUGUUUAUUAAAAACACAGCACUGUGCAAACACGAAAGUGGACGUAUACGGUGUGACGCCUGCCCGGUGCCGGAAGGUUAAUUGAUGGGGUUAUCCGUAAGGAGAAGCUCUUGAUCGAAGCCCCGGUAAACGGCGGCCGUAACUAUAACGGUCCUAAGGUAGCGAAAUUCCUUGUCGGGUAAGUUCCGACCUGCACGAAUGGCGUAAUGAUGGCCAGGCUGUCUCCACCCGAGACUCAGUGAAAUUGAACUCGCUGUGAAGAUGCAGUGUACCCGCGGCAAGACGGAAAGACCCCGUGAACCUUUACUAUAGCUUGACACUGAACAUUGAGCCUUGAUGUGUAGGAUAGGUGGGAGGCUUUGAAGCGUGGACGCCAGUCUGCGUGGAGCCAACCUUGAAAUACCACCCUUUAAUGUUUGAUGUUCUAACGUUGGCCCCUUAUCGGGGUUGCGGACAGUGUCUGGUGGGUAGUUUGACUGGGGCGGUCUCCUCCCAAAGCGUAACGGAGGAGCACGAAGGUUAGCUAAUCCUGGUCGGACAUCAGGAGGUUAGUGCAAUGGCAUAAGCUAGCUUGACUGCGAGCGUGACGGCGCGAGCAGGUGCGAAAGCAGGUCAUAGUGAUCCGGUGGUUCUGAAUGGAAGGGCCAUCGCUCAACGGAUAAAAGGUACUCCGGGGAUAACAGGCUGAUACCGCCCAAGAGUUCAUAUCGACGGCGGUGUUUGGCACCUCGAUGUCGGCUCAUCACAUCCUGGGGCUGAAGUAGGUCCCAAGGGUAUGGCUGUUCGCCAUUUAAAGUGGUACGCGAGCUGGGUUUAGAACGUCGUGAGACAGUUCGGUCCCUAUCUGCCGUGGGCGCUGGAGAAUUGAGGGGGGCUGCUCCUAGUACGAGAGGACCGGAGUGGACGCAUCACUGGUGUUCGGGUUGUCAUGCCAAUGGCACUGCCCGGUAGCUAAAUGCGGAAGAGAUAAGUGCUGAAAGCAUCUAAGCACGAAACUUGCCCCGAGAUGAGUUCUCCCUGAGACUUUAAGUCUCCUGAAGGAACGUUGAAGACGACGACGUUGAUAGGCCGGGUGUGUAAGCGCAGCGAUGCGUUGAGCUAACCGGUACUAAUGAACCGUGAGGCUUAACCUUACAACGCCGAAG